GNCAUGCUUAACACAUGCAAGUCGAACGAAGGCCCGGGGCUUGCCCCGGUUACCUUAGUGGCGAACGGGUGAGUAACGCGUGGGAAUCUGCCCUACGGUGGGGAAUAACAGCUGGAAACGGCUGCUAAUACCGCAUACGCUCUACGGAGGAAAGGCUUCGGCCGCCGUUGGAGGAUCCCGCGUCCGAUUAGCUUGUUGGUGAGGUAAUGGCUCACCAAGGCUACGAUCGGUAGCUGGUCUGAGAGGACGAUCAGCCACACUGGGACUGAGACACGGCCCAGACUCCUACGGGAGGCAGCAGUGGGGAAUAUUGGACAAUGGGGGAAACCCUGAUCCAGCAAUGCCGCGUGAGUGAAGAAGGCCUUAGGGUUGUAAAACUCUUUCACCCGUGAAGAUGAUGACGGUAGCGGGAGAAGAAGCUCCGGCUAACUCCGUGCCAGCAGCCGCGGUAAUACGGAGGGGGCAAGCGUUGCUCGGAAUUACUGGGCGUAAAGCGCGCGUAGGCGGUACACAUAGUCAGGCGUGAAAGCCCCGGGCUUAACCCGGGAACUGCGUUUGAUACUGGUGUGCUAGAAUCCGAAAGAGGGCAGUGGAAUUCCCAGUGUAGAGGUGAAAUUCGUAGAUAUUGGGAAGAACACCAGAGGCGAAGGCGGCUGCCUGGUUCGGUAUUGACGCUGAGGUGCGAAAGCGUGGGGAGCGAACAGGAUUAGAUACCCUGGUAGUCCACGCCGUAAACGAUGAGUGCUAGUUGUUGGGCAGCAUGCUGCUCGGUGACGCCGCUNACGCUUU
rnacentral:rRNA from 1 species